CCCCCCCCCUGUAGUAGCAGUAUAGGUAAUAAAUCUGGCUCCAGUGGAAGUGAGCCAGAACCCCCAUUACCUAUACUACUGCUUUAGAGGUGUUAUGUAAGAUUGCUUGGGUCAGGCGUGAACGUCUUUUGUUGUAUGAGCGGUGUGAUUGAGUGGGUAUUUAAAAAGACUGUAAACUGAAAUUCAGGGCAGUCAACGAGAAUUCUAACCUUGGUUAGACGGUUUUGGUGUGUUGUCCCAAUCUUGUGGCUGUCCGGGGACCCAGAGGGGCACCUGUACGGAGGAUGAGGAGGCAGGGACAUUCAUUAUAUGAAGCCUGACCCCAGGGCGACAGAUGGCCAUGAAGUACAUGGAAUGUUUACAUCUGAAUAGAAGGAGACCUGUGUGGGGCUCGAAACAAUGUACAGUGCAUAAUGCAAUGACGUGGAAGGAGGCGUGGCGAAUGACUUUUUACAUAUUGUGUACAUAAUGAGAGAUAAUUGUUGACAUGCAUGUAUUGAAGCGUUGGAAGAAUUAAUGCCUAAAGAUGUUAAUGUAUUGAGGUGUUGAUGUUGAGAUGUAUUAAUGUGUUCUGAUAUUGAUGUAUUGAUGUAUUGAUGUUAUGUCAUUGUUGCGAUGAUAAAUUGAUGUAUUAGUAGAGAUUUAGAGACAGAUUAUUAGUGCAAAAUUAGAGUAUGUGUAAGUAGGGUUAACCUUAACUAUUGGGAAAGUGUAUGUUAGAGGGACAGAGGGUGUGUGUGAAGGAUGUGAAGUGUGUGAAGUAUGUGAAGUGUGUGUGAAGGAUGUGAAGAGUGUGAAGUGUGUGAAGGCUGAUAGUGGAAGGUAGCUGAAUGGCUGUGAGUGCGUUGGAUACAUCAUUGCCAACAUAAUUCUUAAUUUUAUUUAAUAAAUAUAUUCCUAAUCCA